CACAAAGAGGCAACAGCAGGCAAGGAGCCUGGGGCAGUGAAAGGCUUAGUGUGCGUGGGUUUCACCCCACCUCAGUUCUCUGCCAUCCAUCUUCUCAGGCUGUGCGAGAGGAAGAAGGAAAGGCUGGAAGCUGCCCUUGGACAAAACUUCUGGUAUGAUCGGUCUUCUCUGGUGGAUACCCUACAGCAGAGCAAGAAACCAGGAGGAGCCAGCUAGUAGAUGCAUCCUCUGAACCUAUCCUGGCUUCAAGAACCUGGUGGGGCAGCUCUCGAGUCCAUUACCUGCCAUGCCUUGUCUGCAGUGCCUAGAGAAACAAGUGAUUGAAAGUUUUGUUGGAGCUGAUUGAAUCAGAUGAAGAUACCCACAGCCAAACACUGGACAAAGGUCAGGGACUCUCAUGGAAGAGUUGGGG
ensembl:lncRNA